rnacentral:rRNA from 1 species
UACGGAGGGUGCGAGCGUUGUCCGGAAUCACUGGGCGUAAAGGGCGCGUAGGCGGCCUGAUAAGUAGGGGGUGAAAUCCUGCGGCUUAACCGCAGGGCUGCCUUCUAAACUGUCAGGCUAGAGCACAGUAGAGGCAGGUGGAAUUCCCGGUGUAGCGGUGGAAUGCGUAGAGAUCCGGAAGAACACCGGUGGCGAAGGCGGCGUUCUGGACCGGUAUUGACGCUGAGGCGCGAAAGCUAGGGGGAGCAAACGGG